rnacentral:rRNA from 1 species
GACGAACGCUGGCGGCGUGCUUAACACAUGCAAGUCGAACGAAGAGCGAUGGACGCUUGCUUCUAUCACUCUUAGUGGCGCACGGGUGAGUAACGCGUAAUCAACCUGCCCUUCAGAGGGGGACAACAGUUGGAAACGACUGCUAAUACCGCAUACGAUCUAAUCUCGGCAUCGAGGAUAGAUGAAAGGUGGCCUCUACAUGUAAGCUAUCACUGAAGGAGGGGAUUGCGUCUGAUUAGCUAGUUGGAGGGGUAACGGCCCACCAAGGCGAUGAUCAGUAGCCGGUCUGAGAGGAUGAACGGCCACAUUGGGACUGAGACACGGCCCAGACUCCUACGGGAGGCAGCAGUGGGGAAUCUUCCGCAAUGGACGAAAGUCUGACGGAGCAACGCCGCGUGAGUGAUGACGGCCUUCGGGUUGUAAAGCUCUGUUAAUCGGGACGAAAGGCCUUCUUGCGAAUAGGGAGAAGGAUUGACGGUACCGGAAUAGAAAGCCACGACUAACUACGUG